GUUUUUCGCUGAAGACGUCGGCCCAAACAAAGGCGCAAUAAUCGGUCUGAUGGUCGGAGGCGUCGUCAUCGCCACCGUCAUCGUCAUCACUCUGGUGAUGCUGAGGAAGAAACAGUACACGUCCAUACACCACGGAGUCAUCGAGGUGGACGCUGCCGUGACCCCAGAAGAGCGCCACCUGUCGAAGAUGCAGCAGAACGGCUACGAGAACCCCACCUACAAGUUCUUUGAGCAAAUGCAAAACUGAAGAAACGAAAAUCAGAAAAAUCUACAACAAGCACACGAGACAUGUUUAAAAUCAUCUCCUCCUCUUCCUCCCCCCGGCCCCAAAUUCUCCUGAAAAAUGGGUCCCACUUCAAAUAUGUUUUCAGUGAUUAAACAGUCCGGAUAAAUCCAGGUUUGGACCUAGAUUAGACCUGGUUUAGACCUAGACCUGGUUUAGAUCUGGUUUUAGACCGAGUUUUAGACCUGGUUUAGACCUGGUUUAGACCUAGUUUAGUCCUAAUUUAGACCUAGUUUGGACCUAGUUUAAACUUGGUUUAGACCUGGUUUAGACCUGAUUUAGACCUGAUUUAGACCUAGUUUUAGACCUGGUUUGGACCUGGUUUGGACCUGGUUUGGACCUGGUUUGGACCUAGUUUAGACCUGGUUGAGUCUGGUUUUAGAUCUAGUUUAGUCCUGGUUUACACCUGGUUCAGACCUGGUUUAGACCAGAUUUAGACCUGGUUUUGACCUAGUUUAGACCUGGUUUAGACCUGGUUGAAUCUUGGUUUAAACCUGCAUUAGGUCUGGUUGAGUCUGGGUUUAAGAUCUAGUUCAGACCUGGUUUAAUCCUGGUCUAGACCUGAUUAAGACUUGGUUGAGUCUCGGUUUAGACCUGGUUUAUUCUAGUUUUAUGCCUCUCGACACUGUGGAAGUCAAGACUGUAUUAUUACGAUUACAAUUUGUAAUUUUAAUUUUAAAAUACCAGUGCCAUACCAAAAUUUAGACUUGAAAUUGUAUUAAAAUUCAGAAAAAUCACCUUCAAAUUUAAAAAUAUUUUCAAAUUAAAAUAAAUCAACCUAAAAUUGCCAAUAAAAUCAUAGAAAAUGUAAAAUGGUGGGAACCCUGUGUAGGCGAUGUAGCUUAUAGCAUCUCUCGCUAGAUAUUUUUCCACUGUUAUUUUUGUAUUUAAUUUUGCCUGGAUUUUGCACCAACUUUUAUUCACUUUAUAAUUUACAGAGAGCUGUUCGGGGUUGUCUACGGCCUGCUGAAAAACGCGCUCGCUCCAAACACAGUUCAGAGAUAGACUUUUGUGUUCGAUGAUUGUCAAAACUAAAAUCUGAAAUGUAGUUUGGACUUUGGCGCUCGUUAAACCGGGGCCAGUUUAUCAAACGUGUCGCGGAGUUGGGAUUAAAACGUAAACAAGGAAGUGCUCGGAAUGUACAGCCAAUCAGAGGGCAGAAAGGAGAAUAAAGCCCGCCUCUUAUUUGGAUAAAUACCUCUGAUUGGACGAUAAAUGUAUUGUAAAUUUAUUGUUGAGAAAAUGGUUCUGAUCUUGGUUUAGACCUGGUUUAGACCAAAGUUAGACCUGGUUUAGACCAAGGUUAGACCUGGUUUAGAGCUGCCCAGUUUAGUCCAAGGUUAGACUUGAUUUAGUCCUAUUAUAGACCAAUUUUGGACCUUGUUUAGUCCUAACUAAAUCUUGGUUUAGUCUUUGUUUAUAUCUGGUAGCGUCCGGGGUCAGACCAGGUUUAGACUUUGAAUUUCCAUCCACAGUUUAGACCUGGUUAAGACCUGGUUUAGUCCUAGUUUAGACCUGGUUUAGACCAAGUUUAGACCAAGGUUAGACCUGAUUUAGUCCUAUUUUAGACCUGGUUAAGACCUGGUUUAGUCCUGGUUAACAUCUGGUAUCGUACAGGGUCAGACCAGGUUUAGACUUUGAAAUUCCAUCCACAGUUUAGACCUGGUUAAGACCUGGUUUGGACCUGGUUCAGUCCUGGCUCAGUACCAAGAUCUUGAAUUGCUCCUCACAGUUUAGACCUGGUUGAGUCCAUACAUAGACCUAUCAAAGACCUAGUUUAGACCUGGUUUAGACCUGGUUUAGAUCUUUUUUGACCACUAUUUUACCAACAAUUUAUUCCAACAAAACACAAAUUAUCCAGACUUGUUUAAAACUGGCCCCGGUCCGUUCCACUACUUGCACUCUACGACACUGGAGACAGCAACCCUUAGCUUCC